UCCUAUUUUUGCUAAACAGUCCCCCCAGCAUCUCCGAUUCUCUCUCUCUCUGUUUCCCUUCAGACCCGGCGGGUUUUCGCCGACCCGACCCGGAGAUUUCUCCGCUCUCCGGCCUCCUCCGGCCAAGGACCCGGACUCCCCUGAGAUCGCCAGCCCACGACAAGCCUCCCUCUGGUGUCGCCGUGCUCUGCCGCUGCCCCGAAAGAUGGAUGGAAGGAGCCACAGUUCCGAUCGGUGACCCGACCGGAAAACCAAUUUUCCGGCAUCCCCUCGGCCGAUCCUUCCCAUUUUCGUGAUCUCCUCCUCCCCCUGAUCAUUCCCAUGAUCUGAUCGUGCGUCCGAGAUUUAAUCCAACUUCAAAGCCUGAUCUAGGACGAUCUAGGCCGAACCGGACUUAGCUCCAGAGGCAACUUAUGGAAUCUAUCAAGAUGGUAAAGAACACAUACAGCCACAGCCGAGUUUCAUUGGAAACUUGUGUUUCCUUAAGGUUUUAUCAUUCACAACCAUUAAGAGGACCAAAGUACAAGGCAAAAAGUUUUGAUACAUGGAGGAGCCUUUGUACAUUACAGAUAUAUCUUUUUUUUGGUAACUCAUGUAGAUUACAGUUGCAACAUUAGUAGUUAUGAAGGUCUUGUGUUCUGUUGAACAUAAAGCUUCUCCUUGGCUCCAUGUUGUGGUUGUUCUUUGACGGAGUUUUGAAUUAGAUUUUAAAAGAUCAUGAUUCUCUUGUGCACACUAAAGAAUUGAUUACUAUAUCUUAUCACAAUGGUAUUCUUGUUGAGUAAACUUAUGAUAGUCCAAGUGGGAGAAUGUAAGACUAAAAUGGACUUUGUC